rnacentral:lncRNA from 1 species
CUUGAAUCCAAAGACCCUAGGUUCAAUCUCCAGCACCACACCCCCCAAAAAAAAACAUAAAAUGAAAGGUUAGUGACGAAGUUCUGCACAACUCCUUGGCACACUUUAAUAUUUAAUAUACUUUGUGUCUUUUUGGCGUUGGUGUACACAUGGUGUUCAGCUGGUAGUCACAAUGCAUCUUUGACUCUUGUCUUUUUUUUUUUUAGGAUACUGUCCAUAUAUAUGAAAGAGUGGUAAAGGACAACUAGCUCUUAAAUCUUGGGAUUUAUAAAUCUCAUUAAGCCCUCUAUGGAGUCUGCUUCAAAAUAACACAGCAUCAUGAGAAUUGCAGACCAGAAAACAAAGCUCCAAAGUUAUAACUCAGCUGUGUCUGAGCUCUUGUUGUUAUGGUGCUGUUAUGGUUUAGAGCUAAAAUGUCCCCCUAAGUCUCAUAUUCAGAGGUGGGGUUUUUGAAAGGUAAUAGCUUGGGGGUGCUAUGCUCAUCAGUUUAAUCCACUAAUGACUACAUGGCUAAAUAUGCUAUUAGGAUGUGGAGCUCCAUUGGAGGUGGGCCCUUGGGAGCAUGAGUUGGGAGAGUGUAUUCUUGUCCCCAGCUCCUCCAUUCCCUCUCUUCUUCCUUGCUACCGUGGGUUGAGCAACUUGCCUCUACCAUGCCUUUCCACCGUGGACUAAGUCCUCUGAAAAUUGAACCAAAAUAAACCUUUGAGUUGUAAGUGUUAGGUAUUUUGUCCCAGCAAUUGCAAAGUGACUACUACAGGUUCCUUUCUUUGCUUUAUAGCCAUCAGCCAGAGUACUUUAGUGACAUUUACAUAGAGCUUGUGUAAGACAGCUGGUGGGGAAAGUGGUAGUGCAGAUGAAGUCUAGGGUAAACUUUGUUUAGUAAAAUGUUUGUUUGGCAGCCUUUUAGAUAAUGCUAGGUAGCUACAGCAGCCAAGAGUCCUGAGCAUCUUCUCUAAUGCAGUCAUGAAAAGUCUUCCACUUAGAUUUCAGUCUGGAGCAACCAGAUCUUCAUGUUGCAUCAGAAUGAGACCCUCCUGACAUGAAAAGCUAAGUUUAUUUUUUAAAAGGAAGUGUAUUUGUGUUCGUGUAUACCUAAUGGGAGAGAGGAGAAUGAGUGUGUGAGUUCUUUUUAAUUUAGGUGUAGCCAUCAGAAAACCUUAAAGAACAAAAUCUUACUGUGGAGGGUCAUGAAACUUGGAGUAUAACAACAUCUGACCACUGCUUGAGGAAAUAUUCCUUGCAUUCAUAAGCUAGCUCUCUGGAGUGAAAUAUGUCUGAAUUUCCCUCACUAGGUAAACAGUCCCUGACAUGUUGGCAGUUAUGGACAUUUUUGGGGGGGGGGGGGGGUUGAACCGGGUCUUACUGUAUAGUUGAGGCUGAACUUGAUCUCAGACUAUGUAGCUCAGGCUGGCCUUAAACUCACAGCAGUCCUCCUGCCUCAGCCCCCCAAGUACUGGGAUUACAGGCAUAUGCUACCAUGCCUGGCUUGGCAGUUGUGGACAUUUAAAAGUAUAUUUUUCCUCUAUCAAUUUAUAAUUUUCCUCAUGGGCCAGGGAUGUAGCUCAGCAGCACAGUGCCUGCCUGGAAGGCAUGAGGCCCUGAGUUUGAUUCCUGGUAACCCCUCCCCUCCCCCAAAUCUUAUAAUUUUUCUUAGGUAAGAGUCCAAGUAGAAAUAGGAAAAAUAAUACGAACAAAUGUAUUCUUCACAAAACCCCCACAGUAUCCAUGGUUUCUCCUUUGCUGUGUCCUUGUGGCUUAGCUAAUGUAUGCUUGUGUGCUAUCAAGUCACAGGACUGGUGAGGAAUUUGGUUUUGGUUAUUUUUCUUUUUUCUUUUUUGUACUGGGGAUCGAACUCGGGACCUUGUGUUAGCGAGGCAGGUGGCAAAACCACUGAGCUAAAUCCCUGGCCCUUGGUUAUUUUUCUUGACCUUGUAUCUUCCAUAUAGCUUAUAGGAGUUCAUAAUUUUGAAGCCCAAGCCUUCAAGAAGAAAUUCUGACUUUGCAUUAAGCCCUUCUGAUGGGAAAGAAAAAAAAUACUUACUAAAAAGAAAGUUUAAUCCCUCUAGAGAACUGGAGCUCAGUUACUCCCUCAUAUAUUACUAAGAUUACUUUAAAAGCUAGAGUUAUAGAAUGAAAACUUUUUGAGUAAUUUUUAAUACAUAGAAAUACUUGAUACCCCAUGUUUUGAAUAUUAGUUGCUUCACAACUUUGCAUAUUAUAGAAUGUCUUAGUUACUUUCUUGUUGCUGGGACAAAAUACCCAACACCCACAAGUUAAAGGAGGAAAGGUUUAUUUUAGCUUUUAGUUUAUAAAGAUUUCAGUCCAUAGUCAGCUGGCUCCAAAGCAUGCCAGAGGGGUAUGGCAGAGGAAACCUGCUCAUGGCAUGGCAGUGGGAAGCAGCAAGCCAUCAAGGCAGGAGAGAUAUACAGUAUAUACAUCUCCAAGCCACAAACCAUGCCCACAGUGUGACCCACCUCUUUCCACCAGGCUUCACCUCAGUCACACCCACUAUAAACCCAUCAGUGGACUAAUCCAGUAUCACCUGUGAUCCAGUCACUUCCCAAAAGAUGGGCGCAUGAGGCUUUAGGGGAACAUUACAUAUAAGCCAUAAUAACAUAGGAUAAAAGAAAUAAGGAUUCAGUGCAAAAAAAUGUUCUUUCCAUAGAAAAAGCUUUUCAUUUGAACUUAGUAAUAGAUUUUUAGCAGCCCAUGAACUCUAGAAACUUCUAGCAGUCUUGGAUAUUAAAGUAUCCUUGGCCUUUGUCCCUGAAUUCCUGCAAGUCUCAGAUACUUUCCAUUCAGCCCAGUAUUCCUCCAAGACGGCAUUUUCGGAGAAGCUCUAACUUUUCACUGCUCUUGUGAUGCUAUUAAACAUGUAUCUGGGAUGGUAAUGGUUAUUUAACACAAAUUCAAGUUUGAGACCACUGAUAAUCUUCCCUUUCUUUUGCUUUUGGGCUUUGAUGACCCGUGGUCACCCAGAGUGGAGCACGUGCAGAGUAAGCCAUUGGAAAGCAGAAAAAAUAUAUUGAAGCAUGAUAGUUCACAUAUUUAUAAAUAAAUACAUUCAUGAACCAGGCAUGGUGGGAUUACACACCUAUAAUCCCAGCACUGGAGAGGCUGACUUGGAGGAUCGCCUGUGAGUUCAAGGCCAGCCUGGGCUACAUAGUUCAAGGUCAGCCUGAAAUACAUAGUGAGACCCUGUGUCAAAAAAUAAAAGCAUAUAGAGAUAGUGCUUGAUAAGCAUUCAAUAAAGUGCUAGUAUUAGUAUCAUUUCAGUGGGUAAAUUCUAUUAGAUUGAAUGUUUGUGUUCCCCCACAAUUCAUGUUGAAACCUAAUGCGCAAUGUGAUGGUAUUUAGAAGUGGGGCCUUUGGGGAGAGAUUAGAUCAUGAGGGCAAAUGAAGUCAGUGCCCUUGGAAAAGAAUUUAGAGAACUGCCUUGCCCUUUCUUCCAUGUGAGGACAUAGCAGAAAAGACAGCUGUCUGUGUACCAGGAAACAUAUCCUCAGGAGACACUGAAUCUGCAAGCACCCUAAUCUUGGACUUGCCAGAAGUGUGAAAUGUAAAGAAAUGCAAGAUGCGAAGUUUUAUUUUUUUUGUAAACCACUCAGUAUGUUAUUUUGUUAUAGCUGCCUCAAACACACUUAAGACACUUUCCUUUGAUUAUUUUUCUAAAGCUUUCUACAGCCAGUGCUACUGAUAAAAUCCAGAAAGCAAUAUUAAUUAUUUCCUAUGUUUAUCUUUCAGUUCAAACGAAAGUAUUGAAGAACCCUUGUAACCUCAAUUGAAAGAUCAUUAGAGGGAGCCAGCCCCUAGAUUUGGACGAAUGUUCUUUAUAUAUCCCCUUUCACAUUUCACAAUCAUGAUUUAGAAUGAAAAUUGACAUUUCAGUCACUAAAACUGGUAGUUUUGGGCUGAGGGUGUAGCUCAGUGGUAGAGCACAUGCCUAGCAUGUUUAAGGCCCUGGAUCCAAUCCCUAGGACUGGCAAACACAAAGAAAAAAAGACUGAUAGCUCGUCUGUAUGAUCUGGCCUCUCUUGAGCCAAGUUAAAUCAGCUGUUGGAGAAGCAGUGAAAGGGACAGGGGACCAAGAGAUGGAGGAAGAGGGGAGAACAGGUAAAAAAAUUAUGUGUUACAUGCAUGCAUCGACUACCUACAAGGAGUGGAAUCAUUAUGUACUGCAAACCUGUACUAAUAAAAUGAAAAAUGUUGAAUUGAGUUCCAAAGUACAUUUCAACGUCAUGUGCUUUUUGUGGUCUUCUUUUGUGGUACUGGGUGUUGAACCCAGAGCUAUUACACUGAGCUUUAGCUUCCCCCACCUUUUUAUGUUUAUUUUGAGACAGGGUCUUGCUAAGUUGCCCAGGCGGAAUUUGAACUGAGGAUCCUCCUGCCUCAGCUUCCAAAAUGCUGGGAUUACAGGUGUGGGCUACCAUGCCAAGCAGAAACGUUGCACCUCUCAUCACUGCUGGCAAGGCAGCACCUGGAGGAAGACUCUUGUUUCCUCAAGGAGCCUUCAUUGCAUGCAGAAAGGACGUCACUUUCCUCAACUUUCCAUUGCUUAAUAAAGUGUCCUGUCAGAAUCUGCUAAUUCUGGUCCCCCUCCGUUCUGGCUUCUAAGCACUGAAAAAGCCAAUCUCUUCUAAGUGGGGUUGCAUGUGACUGACAUACCAGAAAUCUGUAACACAUAAAAGGAAUUUGUACCCAGGCAUGGUGUCACACUCCUGGAAUUCCAGCACUCCGGAGGCUGAGGCAGGAGGAUUGCCAUAAGUUCGAGGCUAGCCUUGGCUAUGUAGUGAGUUUAAAACCACCCUGAACUAUGUACUGAGACCCUGUCUCUAAACAAAUUUUAAAAAGGGUUGUAAGUAAAUUAC